GAUGAACGCUAGCGGGAGGCCUAACACAUGCAAGCCGAGCGGUAGAGUCUCUUCGGAGACUUGAGAGCGGCGCACGGGUGCGGAACACGCGUGCAACCUGCCUUUAUCUGGGGGAUAGCCUUUCGAAGGGAAGAUUAAUACCCCAUAAUAUACUGGAUGGCAUCAUCUGGUAUUGAAAACUCCGGUGGAUAGAGAUGGGCACGCGCAAGAUUGGAUAGUUGGUGAGGUAACGGCUCACCAAGUCAGCGAUCUUUAUGGGGCCUGAGAGGGUGAUCCCCCACACUGGUACUGAGACACGGACCAGAAUCCUACGGGAGGCAGCAGUGAGGAAUAUUAGACAAUGGGUGAGAGCCUGAUCCAGCCAUCCCGAGUGAAGGACGACGGCCCUAUGGGUUGUAAACUUCUUUUGUCGAGGGAUAAACCUAGAUAAGUGUAUCUAGCUGAAGGUACUAUACGAAUAAGCACCGGCUAACUCCGUG
rnacentral:rRNA from 1 species